AUUGAACGCUGGCGGCAUGCCUUACACAUGCAAGUCGAACGGCAGCACGGGAGCUUGCUCCUGGUGGCGAGUGGCGAACGGGUGAGUAAUACAUCGGAACGUACCCAGGAGUGGGGGAUAACGUAGCGAAAGUUACGCUAAUACCGCAUAUUCUGGGAGCAGGAAAGCGGGGGAUCGCAAGACCUCGCGCUCUUGGAGCGGCCGAUGUCGGAUUAGCUAGUUGGUGAGGUAAAAGCGCACCAAGGGGACGAUCCGUAGCGGGUCUGAGAGGAUGAUCUGCCACACUGGGACUGGGACACGGCCCAGACUCCUACGGGAGGCAGCAGUGGGGAAUUUUGGACAAUGGGGGCAACCCUGAUCCAGCCAUGCCGCGUGAGUGAAGAAGGCCUUCGGGUUGUAAAGCUCUUUCGGCGGGGAAGAAAUGGCAACGGCUAAUAUCCGUUGUUGAUGACGGUACCCGCAUAAGAAGCACCGGCUAACUACGUGCCAGCCGCCGCCGUAACAC
rnacentral:rRNA from 1 species